rfam:Aedes albopictus isolate Foshan contig55550, whole genome shotgun sequence.
UGUUCUGUGGCUUAGUAGGUUAAAGUGCCGGUCUAGCGAAGACGGAGUUGUGGGUUCGAAUCCCACCAGAACGC